GCAGCAACGCCGCGUGCGGGAUGAAGGCCUUCGGGUUGUAAACCGCUUUCAGCAGGGACGAAACUGACGGUACCUGCAGAAGAAGCCCCGGCUAACUACGUGCCAGCAGCCGCGGUAAUACGUAGGGGGCUAGCGUUAUCCGGAUUCAUUGGGCGUAAAGCGCGCGUAGGCGGGCUGUUAAGUCAGAUGUGAAAACCGGGGGCUCAACCCGCGGCCUGCAUCUGAAACUGGCAGUCUCGAGUCUGGUAGAGGAAAGUGGAAUUCCCAGUGUAGCGGUGAAAUGCGCAGAUAUUGGGAGGAACACCAGUGGCGAAGGCGGCUUUCUGGGGCACGACUGACGCUGAGGCGCGAAAGCUAGGGGAGCAAACAGGAUUAGAUACCCUGGUAGUCCUAGCCGUAAACGAUGGGCACUAGGUGUGGGAGGUCAUCGAUCCCUUCCGUGCCGCAGCUAACGCAUUAAGUGCCCCGCCUGGGGAGUACGGCCGCAAGGUUAAAAC
rnacentral:rRNA from 1 species